rnacentral:rRNA from 4 species
CCUGGCGGCACUAGCGCGGUGGUCCCACCUGACCCCAUGCCGAACUCAGAAGUGAAACGCCGUAGCGCCGAUGGUAGUGUGGGGUCUCCCCAUGUGAGAGUAGGG